CGCCGUAGUCUCUAGUAGAUUAUAUGACAAUAUACGGAGUAGACACGUGGUACCGUGGGUUUCUUGUCAAGGUACUUGUGGAAAACCCGAGAGAAAACCUCUCCUCAUCUCUGAGUAGAAUAUCAUCAAACAAUCACCUCUUCCCUUCCAGAUUAUUUCAUUGAUAAGGAGUCAGGAUCCUACACACUGGACUGUAAGUUGGUCAUGCAUGGAAUCAUGUCUAUGUUGGAGUUUUGUUAGGGGUGGGGCAAGACUAGAGUUCUGUCAGCUUUUACCUAAAGUUGAACUACACGCUCAUUUAAAUGGAUCGAUUAGUUCCGAUACUAUGCGUAAGCUGAUUGAGCUCAAGUCCAAGAAAUGGCUUUUAGGAGGAAGAGAUGAGAGUUUUGCUGAUUCUAAUCCAAACAGUUGUAAAACAGUUAUUAAUGACAAAGGAGAGAAAUC